rnacentral:misc_RNA from 1 species
AAGUCGUAACAAGGUUUCCGUAGGUGAACCUGCGGAAGGAUCAUUACAGUGUUCCCUGCCCUCACGGGUAGAAACGCCCACCCUUGUGUCUAUGUUAUAUUGUUGCUUUGGCAGGCCGCCUUCGGGCACUGGCUCCGGCUGGAUCGUGCCUGCCAGAGGAUCUCAAACCCUGAAUGUUAGUGUCGUCUGAGUACUAUCUAAUAGUUAAAACUUUCAACAACGGAUCUCUUGGUUCUG